AUGGACGUGGUCAAACAUGGUUCAACCGAUCCGGGAACGGGAUCAGCGCAUGGAUCAACCGUAUGAUGUACUCGGCCCUCGAUAAGGGACAUCCGACUGUCACUGACUUCCCUACCGAUAAGCAGCAUCUGUGGUUUCGUCAGUUUGCGCAAGAAUUCAACUGGAAUUCCGAUGA